rnacentral:lncRNA from 1 species
AUGUUGGGGCGCACACUGUACGGAAGCGGAAAUGGGCUCAGGGGACGCAAGCGGCUAAUGCUGGAUCCCCCAGCUUGUAAAUGGCCCGAGAGAGGGAUUUGUCCGCCGCUGAAGACGUGUAGGCACCGCACUGCAGUACUUAUGGUUGUGGGGUCUGCAGUGUGCGGUGCGGGUUCCAAGAGCACGGGCUCUGGGACCAGACCACCGAGUUCAAGUAGGGAGCUUGCACGCACUAGCUCUGUGGCCUUGGAAGGUAUGAUGGAUUUCGACAAGUCCAGCUCACAGCAGGACAGCGGGACCCAGUGGAGAUGGAGUAGUUGCCCCUCGUUCAAGGUUGCCCCCCUAUCCCAGUGGGAUGAGUCACCGCAGAUGCGAGUAGAUAAUUCCUGUCUCAGGUGCGUUGGGGCUUGGGGUUCUCAGUAGCAAAGCACGUUGAUCUGCAGUGAGAGUUGGGACAUGACUUCCAUGCCCUUCUGGUGUUGGGCAUCUCUGAAGGGGUGUUCAGACUGGCAUAUGGCGCAACAAGUCCUUCCGGGUGAUCAUUCACAUGUAGGGGCCGCCUGGGUGGCUCAGUUGGUUACCUAUCCAACUCUUGAUUCCACGUUCUUAGGGUCCUGGGAUCAAGCCCACCAUCGGGCUCUAUGCUGGGCGUGGAGACUGCUUGAGAUUCUCUCUCCCUCUCUUCCUCUGCCCUUCCCCCGAGCUCAUGCUCUCUCUUUCCCUCUUUCAAAUAAAAAUAAAUAAAUCUUUUUUAUUUUUUUUUAAAGAUUUUAUUUAUUUAUUUGACAGAGAGAGAGAUCACAAGUAGGCAGUAGGCAGAGAGGCAGGCAGAGAGAGAGAGGAG